GUGCUCCACUAGGUAGCACAUACACUAAAAGUGGAAUGAGAUUAGAAUGGUCUCCGUGCAAAGAUGACACACAAAUUUGUGAAGCAUUCCAUAUCUUU
ensembl:snRNA U6 U6 spliceosomal RNA